rnacentral:rRNA from 1 species
GCGGCGUGCUUAACACAUGCAAGUCGAACGGAAAGGCCCUGCUUUUGUGGGGUGCUCGAGUGGCGAACGGGUGAGUAACACGUGAGUAACCUGCCCUUGACUUUGGGAUAACUUCAGGAAACUGGGGCUAAUACCGGAUAGGAGCUCCUGCUGCAUGGUGGGGGUUGGAAAGUUUCGGCGGUUGGGGAUGGACUCGCGGCUUAUCAGCUUGUUGGUGGGGUAGUGGCUUACCAAGGCUUUGACGGGUAGCCGGCCUGAGAGGGUGACCGGCCACAUUGGGACUGAGAUACGGCCCAGACUCCUACGGGAGGCAGCAGUGGGGAAUAUUGCACAAUGGGCGGAAGCCUGAUGCAGCAACGCCGCGUGCGGGAUGACGGCCUUCGGGUUGUAAACCGCUUUCGCCUGUGACGAAGCGUGAGUGACGGUAAUGGGUAAAGAAGCACCGGCUAACUACGUGCCAGCAGCCGCGGUGAUACGUAGGGUGCGAGCGUUGUCCGGAUUUAUUGGGCGUAAAGGGCUCGUAGGUGGUUGAUCGCGUCGGAAGUGUAAUCUUGGGGCUUAACCCUGAGCGUGCUUUCGAUACGGGUUGACUUGAGGAAGGUAGGGGAGAAUGGAAUUCCUGGUGGAGCGGUGGAAUGCGCAGAUUUCAGGAGGAACACCAGUGGCGAAGGCGGUUCUCUGGGCCUUUCCUGACGCUGAGGAGCGAAAGCGUGGGGGAGCGAACAGGCUUAGAUACCCUGGUAGUCCACGCUGUAAACGGUGGGUACUAGGUGUGGGGUCCAUUCCACGGGUUCCGUGCCGUAGCUAACGCUUUAAGUACCCCGCCUGGGGAGUACGGCCGCAAGGCUAAAACUCAAAGGAAUUGACGGGGCCCCGCACAAGCGGCGGAGCAUGCGGAUUAAUUCGAUGCAACGCGUAGAACCUUACCUGGGUUUGACAUGGAUCGGGAGUGCUCAGAGAUGGGUGUGCCUCUUUUGGGGUCGGUUCACAGGUGGUGCAUGGCUGUCGUCAGCUCGUGUCGUGAGAUGUUGGGUUAAGUCCCGCAACGAGCGCAACCCUUGUUCACUGUUGCCAGCACGUUAUGGUGGGGACUCAGUGGAGACCGCCGGGGUCAACUCGGAGGAAGGUGGGGAUGACGUCAAGUCAUCAUGCCCCUUAUGUCCAGGGCUUCACGCAUGCUACAAUGGCUGGUACAGAGAGUGGCGAGCCUGUGAGGGUGAGCGAAUCUCGGAAAGCCGGUCUCAGUUCGGAUUGGGGUCUGCAACUCGACCUCAUGAAGUCGGAGUCGCUAGUAAUCGCAGAUCAGCAACGCUGCGGUGAAUACGUUCCCGGGGCUUGUACACACCGCCCGUCAAGUCAUGAAAGUUGGUAACACCCGAAGCCGGUGGCCUAACCGUUGUGGGGGAGCCGUCGAAGGUGGGACUGGUGAUUAGG